AAGAAAUAGUAUAAAUGCCAUACAAAAUUUGCCUCUGGUUAUUGAUUCAGGCAAAAAAACCUCUUGUUUUUAGGUUAAAUGAACAAUAAUAAUAAAAAUUACACUUCUUAGAAAAACUAUGUGAAUUUAUUGUUUUUAUUUCUUCUUUUCAUGUCAUUUUCUUACUUUUACCGCUGGUCCUUGGUUAUUGUAUACAAUUACCGGUAAAAGUAGAUAAUUGAAAAUAAUUUACCUCGUCUAACAAGUCUUGAAUACUGAUCUUAAAUCCUACCAUAGUAAAUGGUUUGCUGCCAUUUUUUACUAUUAUAAAUCUGCACUUGUUUACAAUAUCUUUAUAUUGAACAUCAAUAAAAAUUUCACCUGUAGGAACUAUUACAGAUCCAUCAUACAUUUUUAAACGAAUGAAUGUUUCCUGUAACUCAACAUUUUUAAAUGCUGUACUGAAUUUAAAAAUUUGUUCAGGGAUCAAUGAAACUCCUGCCCAUAAUUCUACCUCCGUUUCAAAAGUAACAUUAUUAAUUGUUACAGUUACUGUAAUUGACUUAACAAUAUAAUUACUUUCCGUGUUAAAUAUUUCUACAAAGUCUAAAUUAUCUUCCUCAACUGUUACAUCACUAACAUGCACAUUAAUCUUUUUAUUAAAAUUAACAGACUUACGCUAAAUGUCCUUUCUUUUUACAUACCUUGCAAAUAAACUCCUUAUACCUACAUUUAGAAAACAUGUGAUUGCCCUCUCCGCAGGCAUCACAUGACAGACUGCCCACUCUCGCCCCUUUGACCCUUGUUGUCGUUAGCUUUUUCUGGCUUUAAUGCUGCUGUUCUGUCUUGCCCUUUACCACUUGGUGGUGUUACAAAUCGACUUUGUUAAUUCGGUUAAUGUCAACUGAUCUACUGGUUGCUAGUGUAGCUUCUUUAUCGAGCGCCACUUCCAAUAGAUAUAUGUUCUAUCUGUUUGACGUCUCUUCGCAUUCGUAUACCUUAUCCAAUAUUGGAACUCUUAAACCGCUACUCAGAAUCCUAAAAAUGUUAUCGAUUUGGUUGCUCAUUGUCAUUUGAUUUUUUAACAUUUGCACUUGAUUAUAACUGUUUCUUGCCCACUUUGCUAAUGAUACUAAUUGUAGGGAAUUGUUAAUAUUUACAGAAAAAGCGUCUUGCAAUAAUAGGAGGAGGCACAGUACGAGCAGUGGUUCUCAACAUGAUGAGGUUUCUAUUAACAGAGUGGCACGAAAAAUGAAUUGGGCGGGGCACAAUUCCAAAAUCGCUUUUAAAGAGACGAUGUGUUUCCAAGUUAUAAAAGAACAUACAAUGUCCGUCGCAUCAGAAAACGAAAUUAGAGUUUUUGAAGAGGUGGUGGAGGUCCAUCGGGACGCCGAAAGCGUCGGCGACGUCCUACAGACGUAACUCGGAACCAUAAAGAGCGUGGACGGGGACGUGGACCAAGACGAGAACAUCGUGAUGGACACGGUCGAGGGGGUGUACAAAAACGAGGAAGAGGAAGGCAGGGUCGGGAGAGACAAGGAGAAGCAAAGAAGACCAUCAGCCCACCGGCACCGGCUCCGCCGGCAUCGGUGGAGCAAGAUGCCCCCUCACAAGGGGGCAAUAAUUUAUUUUUAAUUUUCAUUAUUAUAAAUAAACAUACUUAAAUUA